rnacentral:ncRNA from 1 species
GGUCACGAGUGACAGCGCAAAGGCCCCGGCUCGCUGUCCGGCAACCCUCCGUCCGAGGCGGGGUGCCCCGGGUGAUGACCGGGCUGUGGGCAGCAAGGCUCGCAGCAAGCCGGACUC